GGGUUGUGAGGUUAAGCGACUAAGCGUACACGGUGGAUGCCCCGGCAGUCAGAGGCGAUGAAGGACGUGCUAAUCUGCGAUAAGCGUCGGUAAGGUGAUAUGAACCGUUAUAACCGGCGAUUUCCGAAUGGGGAAACCCAGUGUGUUUCGACACACUAUCAUUAACUGAAUCCAUAGGUUAAUGAGGCGAACCGGGGGAACUGAAACAUCUAAGUACCCCGAGGAAAAGAAAUCAACCGAGAUUCCCCCAGUAGCGGCGAGCGAACGGGGAGCAGCCCAGAGCCUGAAUCAGUGUGUGUGUUAGUGGAAGCGUCUGGAAAGGCGCGCGAUACAGGGUGACAGCCCCGUACACAAAAAUGCACAUAUUGUGAGCUCGAUGAGUAGGGCGGGACACGUGGUAUCCUGUCUGAAUAUGGGGACCAUCCUCCAAGGCUAAAUACUCCUGACUGACCGAUAGUGAACCAGUACCGUGAGGGAAAGGCGAAAAGAACCCCGGCGAGGGGAGUGAAAAGAACCUGAAACCGUGUACGUACAAGCAGUGGGAGCACGCUUAGGCGUGUGACUGCGUACCUUUGUAUAAUGGGUCAGCGACUUAUAUUCUGUAGCAAGGUUAACCGAAUAGGGGAGCCGAAGGGAAACCGAGUCUUAACUGGGCGUUAAGUUGCAGGGUAUAGACCCGAAACCCGGUGAUCUAGCCAUGGGCAGGUUGAAGGUUGGGUAACACUAACUGGAGGACCGAACCGACUAAUGUUGAAAAAUUAGCGGAUGACUUGUGGCUGGGGGUGAAAGGCCAAUCAAACCGGGAGAUAGCUGGUUCUCCCCGAAAGCUAUUUAGGUAGCGCCUCGUGAAUUCAUCUCCGGGGGUAGAGCACUGUUUCGGCAAGGGGGUCAUCCCGACUUACCAACCCGAUGCAAACUGCGAAUACCGGAGAAUGUUAUCACGGGAGACACACGGCGGGUGCUAACGUCCGUCGUGAAGAGGGAAACAACCCAGACCGCCAGCUAAGGUCCCAAAGUCAUGGUUAAGUGGGAAACGAUGUGGGAAGGCCCAGACAGCCGGAUGUUGGCUUAGAAGCAGCCAUCAUUUAAAGAAAGCGUAAUAGCUCACUGGUCGAGUCGGCCUGCGCGGAAGAUGUAACGGGGCUAAACCAUGCACCGAAGCUGCGGCAGCGACGCUGAUGCGUUGUUGGGUAGGGGAGCGUUCUGUAAGCCUGUGAAGGUGCGCUGUGAGGCAUGCUGGAGGUAUCAGAAGUGCGAAUGCUGACAUAAGUAACGAUAAAGCGGGUGAAAAGCCCGCUCGCCGGAAGACCAAGGGUUCCUGUCCAACGUUAAUCGGGGCAGGGUGAGUCGACCCUAAGGCGAGGCCGAAAGGCGUAGUCGAUGGGAAACAGGUUAAUAUUCCUGUACUUGGUGUUACUGCGAAGGGGACGGAGAAGGCUAUGUUGGCCGGGCGACGGUUGUCCCGGUUUAAGCGUGUAGGCUGGUUUUCCAGGCAAAUCCGGAAAAUCAAGGCUGAGGCGUGAUGACGAGGUACUACGGUGCUGAAGCAACAAAUGCCCUGCUUCCAGGAAAAGCCUCUAAGCAUCAGGUAACAUCAAAUCGUACCCCAAACCGACACAGGUGGUCAGGUAGAGAAUACCAAGGCGCUUGAGAGAACUCGGGUGAAGGAACUAGGCAAAAUGGUGCCGUAACUUCGGGAGAAGGCACGCUGAUAUGUAGGUGAAGUCCCUCGCGGAUGGAGCUGAAAUCAGUCGAAGAUACCAGCUGGCUGCAACUGUUUAUUAAAAACACAGCACUGUGCAAACACGAAAGUGGACGUAUACGGUGUGACGCCUGCCCGGUGCCGGAAGGUUAAUUGAUGGGGUCAGCGCAAGCGAAGCUCUUGAUCGAAGCCCCGGUAAACGGCGGCCGUAACUAUAACGGUCCUAAGGUAGCGAAAUUCCUUGUCGGGUAAGUUCCGACCUGCACGAAUGGCGUAAUGAUGGCCAGGCUGUCUCCACCCGAGACUCAGUGAAAUUGAACUCGCUGUGAAGAUGCAGUGUACCCGCGGCAAGACGGAAAGACCCCGUGAACCUUUACUAUAGCUUGACACUGAACAUUGAGCCUUGAUGUGUAGGAUAGGUGGGAGGCUUUGAAGUGUGGACGCCAGUCUGCAUGGAGCCGACCUUGAAAUACCACCCUUUAAUGUUUGAUGUUCUAACGUUGACCCGUAAUCCGGGUUGCGGACAGUGUCUGGUGGGUAGUUUGACUGGGGCGGUCUCCUCCUAAAGAGUAACGGAGGAGCACGAAGGUUGGCUAAUCCCUGGUCGGACAUCAGGAGGUUAGUGCAAUGGCAUAAGCCAGCUUGACUGCGAGCGUGACGGCGCGAGCAGGUGCGAAAGCAGGUCAUAGUGAUCCGGUGGUUCUGAAUGGAAGGGCCAUCGCUCAACGGAUAAAAGGUACUCCGGGGAUAACAGGCUGAUACCGCCCAAGAGUUCAUAUCGACGGCGGUGUUUGGCACCUCGAUGUCGGCUCAUCACAUCCUGGGGCUGAAGUAGGUCCCAAGGGUAUGGCUGUUCGCCAUUUAAAGUGGUACGCGAGCUGGGUUUAGAACGUCGUGAGACAGUUCGGUCCCUAUCUGCCGUGGGCGCUGGAGAACUGAGGGGGGCUGCUCCUAGUACGAGAGGACCGGAGUGGACGCAUCACUGGUGUUCGGGUUGUCAUGCCAAUGGCACUGCCCGGUAGCUAAAUGCGGAAGAGAUAAGUGCUGAAAGCAUCUAAGCACGAAACUUGCCCCGAGAUGAGUUCUCCCUGACUCCUUGAGAGUCCUGAAGGAACGUUGAAGACGACGACGUUGAUAGGCCGGGUGUGUAAGCGCAGCGAUGCGUUGAGCUAACCGGUACUAAUGAACCGUGAGGCUUAACCUUACAACGCCGAAGGUGUUU
rnacentral:rRNA from 1 species